UACAGAGGUCUCGAGCGUUGUUCGGAUUCAUUGGGCGUAAAGGGCGCGUAGGCUGCGGGGCAAGUCGGGUGUGAAAUCUCAGAGCUCAACUCUGAAACUGCACUCGAUACUGCCGUUGCUUGAGGACUGGAGAGGAGACUGGAAUUACGGUGUAGCGUGAAAUGCGUAGAUAUCGUAAGGAAGACCAGUGGCGAAGGCGGGUCUCUGGACAGUUCCUGACGCUGAGGCACGAAGGCCAGGGGAGCAAACGGG
rnacentral:rRNA from 1 species